AUUGAACGCUGGCGGCAGGCCUAACACAUGCAAGUCGAGCGGAUGAAGGGUGCUUGCUCCUGGAUUCAGCGGCGGACGGGUGGGUAAUGCCUAGGAAUCUGCCUGGUUGUGGGGGAUAACGUCCGGAAACGGGCGCUAAUACCGCAUACGCCCUGAGGGAGAAAGUGGGGGAUCUUCGGACCUUACGCUAUUAGAUGAGUCUAGGUCGGAUUAGCUAGUUGGUGGGGUAAAGGCCUACCAAGGCGACGAUCCGUAACUGGUCUGAGAGGAUGAUCAGUCACACUGGAACUGAGACACGGUCCAGACUCCUACGGGAGGCAGCAGUGGGGAAUAUUGGACAAUGGGCGAAAGCCUGAUCCAGCCAUGCCGCGUGGGUGAAGAAGGUCUUCGGAUUGUAAAGCACUUUAAGUGGGGAGGAAGGGCAGUAAGUUAAUACCUUGCUGUUUUGACGGUACCAACAGAAUAAGCACCGGCUAACUUCGUG
rnacentral:rRNA from 1 species